GGAUUAGAAACCCGGGUAGUCCACGCCGUAAACGUUGGGCGCUAGGUGUGGGGUCCCUUCCACGGGUUCCGUGCCCGCGGCUAACGCAUUAAGCGCCCCGCCUGGGGAGUACGGCCGCAAGGCUAAAACUCAAAGGAAUUGACGGGGGCCCGCACAAGCGGUGGGAGCAUGUGGUUUAAUUCGAAGCAACGCGAAGAACCUUACCAGGUCUUGACAUCCCGCUGACCGCCCAGGAGACUGGGCUUUCCCUUCGGGGACAGCGGUGACAGGUGGUGCAUGGUUGUCGUCAGCUCGUGUCGUGAGAUGUUGGGUUAAGUCCCG
rnacentral:rRNA from 1 species